UACGUAGGGUGCGAGCGUUAAUCGGAAUUACUGGGCGUAAAGCGUGCGCAGGCGGUGAUGUAAGACAGAUGUGAAAUCCCCGAGCUCAACUUGGGAACUGCAUUUGUGACUGCAUCGCUGGAGUGCGGCAGAGGGGGAUGGAAUUCCGCGUGUAGCAGUGAAAUGCGUAGAUAUGCGGAGGAACACCGAUGGCGAAGGCAAUCCCCUGGGCCUGCACUGACGCUCAUGCACGAAAGCGUGGGGAGCAAACAGG
rnacentral:rRNA from 1 species